UGGGGGAUAUUGGACAAUGGGGGAAACCCUGAUCCAGCGAUGCCGCGUGAGGGAAGAAGGUUUUCGGAUUGUAAACCUCUGUGGACAGGGACGAUAAUGACGGUACCUGUUUAGAAAGCCACGGCUAACUACGUGCCAGCAGCCGCGGUAAUACGUAGGUGGCGAGCGUUGUCCGGAAUUACUGGGUGUAAAGGGAGUGUAGGCGGGAAGGCAAGUCAGAAGUGAAAAUUAUGGGCUUAACCCAUAACCUGCUUUUGAAACUGUUUUUCUUGAGUGAGGCAGAGGCAAGCGGAAUUCCUAGUGUAGCGGUGAAAUGCGUAGAUAUUAGGAGGAACACCAGUGGCGAAGGCGGCUUGCUGGGCCUUUACUGACGCUGAGGCUCGAAAGCGUGGGGAGCAAACAGG
rnacentral:rRNA from 1 species